rnacentral:rRNA from 1 species
UACGUAGGGGGCAAGCGUUGUCCGGAAUUAUUGGGCGUAAAGAGCGCGCAGGCGGCUAUUUAAGUCUACCGUGAAAGCUUACGGCUCAACCGUAACGGGCCGGUGGAUACUGGAUGGCUUGAGGGCAGGAGAGGAAAGUGGAAUUCCCAGUGUAGCGGUGAAAUGCGUAGAGAUUGGGAGGAACACCAGUGGCGAAGGCGACUUUCUGGACUGUUACUGACGCUGAGGCGCGAAAGCUGGGGGAG